AUUGUGUUUUGAACUUUUAAAGCUCCUGCCGCCGCAGCACCUGCCAGCGCUGAAACUGCUCCAGCCAAAGAGGAGAAGAAGAAGGAGGAACCAGAAGAAGAGUCAGACGAUGACAUGGGCUUUGGUUUAUUCGACUAAGCUGAAGGAUCGCGUUGGUCCAUACUUUUUAUAUAUGUACAGUUACAUUGUACAAUAAACGAUGAAACACAAUUUGA